UACGUAGGGGCAAGCGUUGUCCGGAAUUAUUGGGCGUAAAGAGCUCGUAGGCGGUUCGUCGCGUCGGCUGUGAAAUCCCGAGGCUCAACCUCGGGUCUGCAGUCGAUACGGGCGGACUGGAGUUCGGCAGGGGAGACUGGAAUUCCUGGUGUAGCGGUGAAAUGCGCAGAUAUCAGGAGGAACACCGGUGGCGAAGGCGGGUCUCUGGGCCGAUGACUGACGCUGAGGAGCGAAAGCGUGGGGAGCGAACAGG
rnacentral:rRNA from 1 species